rnacentral:rRNA from 1 species
UACGUAGGCAGCGAGCGUUGUCCGGAUUUAUUGGGCGUAAAGAGCGUGUAGGCGGUCAGGUAGGCCCGUUGUGAAAACUCGAGGCUCAACCUCGAGACGCCGAUGGAAACCAUCUGACUAGAGUCCGGAAGAGGAGAGUGGAAUUCCUGGUGUAGCGGUGAAAUGCGCAGAUAUCAGGAAGAACACCCGUGGCUAAGGCGGCUCUCUAGUACGGUACUGACGCUGAGACGCGAAAGCGUGGGGAGCGAACAGG